GCUGCGAUGGCCGAGUGGUUAAGGCGUUUGACUCGAAAUCAAAUGGGAUAUCCCGCACUGGUUCGAAUCCUGUUCCCAAUGCA